UCUUAUUCAAGUGUGAAUUCAAGUGACUCCUACAGGACGUGAAUUUUACUUCCAUCUAGUGGCCAGAGUGUGAACCUCAUGGAACACUGAGGGGAAACAUGUUCAGUGCAGGUGCUCCGGAUCGGCUGUGGUGGUGGUGGUGGUCCCGGUGCAGGCUUCGAUGUGAUGCCGCUUCCCUCGUUCGGUCCCGCCUCCUUCAACUCACUCCUCCCAAGAAACGGCAAAUCAAUAUCAACAAGAAAGCUCCCUGCUCACGUAUAACUUUUUCUGCCAACACCGACCCCCCUCCCCCUUUUUUUUUUCUUUCUUGCAGCAUGAUCCAAAGCUUUAAGGACACGAUCCAUGUCCACAUCCACGGUCACAGGGAUCGGCUUAGUGCGGUAGCCGCGGCCGGCGGUGUGAUUUUCAUGUUUGCGGCUCAUAUGUGACCGAGGGUGUUAAAAUCGCGCCGAUGGAGGCAUAGUGACGCGCAUUGUGAGCCGCCGCCGCACGACUGGAGACGCCUAAUCUGACCUGCAGAAAGUUGACAUAAUGAUCCUAAGCCGCCUUUGCUGCAAAUCGUUGUGGAAUUCAAAACUUUUCCUUCGCUCUCUCUGUCUAGAUGUGCACAUUCUUCGGCACUCAUGAGCGCCGAGCUUGGACUGGACGGCGUGCGUAAAAGCACCACUUUUGCGCAUGCACCGACUUUUACGCACUGAACUUCAGGCCGUGCACGGGAACAUUUGGGAGCAAAAGGUCUGCUUGACCACUGGAGCACCACGCAUGCAGGGACGUGUUUGCGUAUGGACAAAGUCGAAAUUCAACAGCGGCAAUUUGGGCACUUCCUGGCCGAGCCGCGCGCUUGUAUCGGAGCUGUCCAAUCAGUGUAUUUACACGGCUUGUUAGCGAUAGUUAAUGAGGGGACAGCCACCCCCCACCCCUCACCACCAAACACCAAACUCCCCUCCUUAACAUUAGGAUUUACCUUGUGUCAACUUCUAAUGAAGCUCCUUGGAAAAUUGUCUCCAAGUUGUGCUCAAUGGAAGGAUGAAGACUCACACACACACACACACACACACACACACACACACACACACACACACACACACACACACACACACACACACACACACACACACACACACACACACACACACACACACACACACACACACACACACACACACUGAACAAAUUAAACAUUUGACAGAAAUAGAAAACUAGUAUCCCAACAUCUAAUAUUUUAGCUUCGACUCAUGUAAAUAAUACUUAGUGCAUCAUGAAAUUUGUAACUUCAUGUAAACAAAGUUGAAGCAAAGCAAAUAUUUGAAGUGUUCUAAAUUAAAAUAAUUGGAUUUAAUACUUCAUGCAAAUAAGCAAAAAUGAGUUUAUGAUUUUCAAAGCACUGAAAAUGAAUUUGAGUAGGCCUCCAAAUGUGUUUUGCUCACAAUUCAUGAGGAACGAUGUGCUGAGCUGCAAGUAACAGGCGCAGUCCAAGUCUCCAAAUACAUUCAAAUGUCUUUUGUAAGAGCAGCCAAUCAGAAGCGAGGUCAUGGAAAUCACUAGCCAAUCGGAAGCUUACCCGGUCCUGCGAUCAAUAACAGAUAAAAAUCUUGAAUUACAAUGAGGGAAUAAUCUAACAAUAUGCUAAAAAUUGAUGCACUUUUUGGGUGCCAAAAUGUAAGCUCACAAAAUUAGGAACCCUCGCCCCCAUGCAUGCAAACACCAAAUGCCGUGAUAAAGAUAUGUUCAAUUUAUAUAAAUAUAUAUAUAUAUUGUGAUACAGCACACAAUAAUAAUGAUAAUAAUAAUAAUUUAUUUGAUGUUUUAAAUCACAAUAUCUAUGUUGAAAUGGAUAUGUACAUUUUAAUGCUGUUAAAAGGAUUUUCCAUGACUGUCUAAUCAUCUGGGCAACUUUUGCUACAGGUUGCGUCCAAUCAUCUAUCCACUCGAAACAAAACAUUAUUUAUUAAAAAUAAUAAUUAAUAUAAAACCAUUAAUAAUUUAUAUUAUUUUAGCUGCAAACUCAAAUUUAUUAACAAUGAUGGCUUAAUUUAACAGACUUUGCAGCACUUAAACAGAUCUUACUGUUUUUAGGUAACAAUAACACAAAUCAAAUUCUCUAUAAUAAUAUUUUUAAAAUAUUCCUGUUGUGUGUCUGAAUUGCAUAAAGGUUGCUUGCGCGUGCGCAUGCGUGUUUCUUGUUGUCUUUUCUUCUAUCAGCAUGCACGUGCCAUCGUCGAAAGCAAGCAUGGCGUUUUCCUCCACAUCACGUGAGUCUCGUCCACGCGUGCGCGUGUAGGCUAUCCCAGGCCAUGAGUCAUGAAAGGCACCUUAAAUGUGGACCAGACGUGGACUUGCAUCUUGAGGGCUGAUUGGCAUCUUUGCUAAGCUUGUUCUUGCAGGUCUUCCUCCAUCCAUCCUGCCUGCCUGCAUGUGUGUGUGUGUGUGUGUGUGUGUGCGUGGCAGAUGUCACGGCGCGGCCGAGGAUGGAGACGUUGAUUUGAGAACGCAAGCAAGCAAGCUUAUCAAACAUUCAUGCAUGGCAGCUGCACUUGUGUGUGUCUCCCGUAGACGGUGAAGCCCCCCACCCUACCUCACCUCAUCCCCCACCUCACAUCCACGUCUCAUCAUCAGGCGCCCUCGAACCCUUUUUAACCCACUUGACACUUGAACACGUAAACAACCUGUCUGUGUGACACGUACACGGACGGAUACUUGAUUAGGGACACCUGCCCCAUCCUAUCCGAUGCGAAAGCUGCAUCCAAACCUUGCCGGUGCAACUGAUCGAUAAUGACAAUUUUGGUUAGAAAUCAGAAAACAACUUGUUCCAGUGUCAAUAAGUUAGCCUAAAUUCACGUGAUUAUUUCAAACUGAAAGUGAGGGCAUCAAAUGGAUAAAUAAAACGACACAAAACAAAAUUGAAACGGCUAAUUCAUUUGCCCCACGAGUCCACACAAGUUUACUUCACGCAUAAGAACAACCAGAAAUAAUCAAUCAUAAUUAGCAAAUAAAAAUAAAUAUUUGACUGGACAUUGCAUUUAAAGUUAAUAAUAGCAGUAGAAGCUUGUGUAUUUUGGUGGCUCCCCACUUUAAGGCCUCAACACGCAUUCUAAUCAUAAAAUAAAACCAUCAUUCGUAAAAGAAGCGCACAAGUGUGACGAUCCAUUCUUGUAAAUUAUUAUGAAAUCAUCAUUUGUAUGAUUCAUUAUUUAUUGAAUUGAUCAUCAAUUAUGAUUUGGAUUUUUGGUUUCUUACUGUAGUGGUCAUAUUGUGACAAUUGUAAAAACAGAUCAGUAGUACGGUAAUAUUUGAUCUCAGCGUGUUGCAGAUGUUGUUUUGUGGCAUCCUACCCCCGCAACCCUAUCCCACAUACCCUUCAAGCCCCGCCCUUUCUCUUGCGAAUGUCGUGCAGGAAGUCGUCGAAAGGUGAGGUCACGGGUUCGCGGUGAGGUUAAAGUGAGAUGGCCACGACUCCUAUGUGACUCCCCCUCACCACCCCAAAGCACGCAAACAACCCAAACAAGUGGGCUUCCUUCCUAUACAGGAGGAUGUGCGCAACCCCAGCCAGCCCGUUUGUUUUGCCCGUACCCCACCUCCCUCACCAACCAAAAAGCCCCCCCCCCCCAACAGACUUGACUUCCUCGAGAAAUCGUUAGUAUGUUUGCUGCUGCUAUUUUUAGCCUGCCUGUCAAUUCACAAUGGUUGAAAAAAUACUCCAUUUCAUCAUGAUUAAAUCUGCUCUUAAUAUGAGGGUUGACUGUGAAUGUGAGGCGGAAUCUGGUCAUGAUCGCUUUGUGACGAUGACACACAGGUCAAGACCAGAACCAGCACCAGAACCAGUCGGGCUUGAUAGCCUCAUGGAUUGAAAAAAAUGGAAACAUGCAACAACAAUUCUGCGUGGUGUCAUUUUGUCUGAGUGCGCCUGAAGAUACCUGAAGCAUAAAAGUUGAUGGCUUGGAAUUUUCAUAAAGUGUUUGAAAUAAAUUUGCUCUUGAGUAAUGUGUAAGAUUGCAAAAUAGAACAAAGUCCGUGCAUGGAGCCCUACUUGACGGAAUUAUGUUUUGAUUGAACUGGAUUAAUCAAAGCCAGCGUAUCGCUGCCACAUAUGAAAACCAAAAAAGUUCAGGAACACGUGAGCGAAUCAUCCAGAAAGUCUGAAGAGUUGCUAUUUUCAAGCCAUGACUGUUUUCUGAAACAGACGUUCUUCAAGGCCAAAAACGUUUGUGGAUUUUGGGGAAAGAAGCUCAUGUUCCGGAUCUCAUGAGUAGUGGCUGCACGCCCUUUUCCUCUUGCCUCAGUCUCAAUUCAUUCAAAGUCAUUAAGAACCAAAACCCGGAAAGGAGCUCGACCGUAGGCGAAUGCUCUAGCGAGCUGCCGCGAGGCAAGAGAACGCAGCGCGAAAUGUUUGAUUGUCAGCAAUGCAUUGAGGCUAAAGUGACAUGUGACGUGCAUGGGGCGGAAUAUUCGGAGAAUGAGUGAAUCGGUUGUUUUGCUCAUCCAAAAUAAAAUAUGGCAUCAGUGUAAAAAAAAAAAGA